GAGACUGGAAUUCCUUGGUGUAGCGGUGGAAUGCGCAGAUAUCAGGAGGAACACCGAUGGCGAAGGCAGGUCUCUGGGCCGCAACUGACGCUGAGGAGCGAAAGCAUGGGGAGCGAACAGGAUUAGAUACCCUGGUAGUCCAUGCCGUAAACGUUGGGCACUAGGUGUGGGACUCAUUCCACGAGUUCCGUGCCGCAGCUAACGCAUUAAGUGCCCCGCCUGGGGAGUACGGCCGCAAGGCUAAAACUCAAAGGAAUUGACGGGGGCCCGCACAAGCGGCGGAGCAUGCGGAUUAAUUCGAUGCAACGCGAAGAACCUUACCAAGGCUUGACAUGCACCGGAUGCUGCCAGAGAUGGUGGUUCCGCAAGGUCGGUGCACAGGUGGUGCAUGGUUGUCGUCAGCUCGUGUCGUGAGAUGUUGGGUUAAGUCCCGCAACGAGCGCAACCCUUGUCCUAUGUUGCCAGCGGGUUAUGCCGGGGACUCAUGGGAGACUGCCGGGGUCAACUCGGAGGAAGGCGGGGAUGACGUCAAAUCAUCAUGCCCCUUAUGUCUUGGGCUUCACGCAUGCUACAAUGGCCGGUACAGAGGGCUGCGAUACCGUAAGGUGGAGCGAAUCCCAAAAAGCCGGUCUCAGUUCGGAUUGGGGUCUGCAACUCGACCCCAUGAAGUCGGAGUCGCUAGUAAUCGCAGAUCAGCAACGCUGCGGUGAAUACGUUCCCGGGCCUUGUACACACCGCCCGUCAAGUCACGAAAGUUGGUAACACCCGAAGCUCACGGCUACGAAGCUCUGGUACUACGCGGCAGAGUGCUCGAAUAGAGACCACUACCCCCC
rnacentral:rRNA from 1 species